AGUGCCGUAGCUCAGAUGUAGAGCAUCUGCCUUGCACACAGAAAGUCCUAGGUUCAAUCCCCAAUGGCAUCU